rnacentral:rRNA from 1 species
UACGAAGGGGGCUAGCGUUACUCGGAUUGACUGGGCGUAAAGGGCGCGUAGGCGGAUGGUACAGUCAGACGUGAAAUUCCUGGGCUCAACCUGGGGGCUGCGUUUGAUACGUGCUGUCUGGAGUUCGGAAGAGGGUCGUGGAAUUCCCAGUGUAGAGGUGAAAUUCGUAGAUAUUGGGAAGAACACCGGUGGCGAAGGCGGCGACCUGGUCCGAUACUGACGCUGAGGCGCGAAAGCUAGGGGAGCAAACGGG